CCUACGGGGGGCAGCAGUGAGGAAUAUUGGUCAAUGGACGCAAGUCUGAACCAGCCAUGCCGCGUGCAGGAAGACGGCUCUAUGAGUUGUAAAUUGCUUUUGUACGAGGGUAAACGCAGAUACGCGUAUCUGUCUGCAAGUAUCUUACGAACAAGGAUCGGCUAACUCCGUGCCAACAGCCGCGGUAAUACGGAGGAUUCAAGCGUUAUCCGGAUUUAUUGGGUUGAAAGGGUGCGUAGGCGGUCUGAUAAGUUAGAUGUGAAAUCCCGGGGCUCAACUUCGGAAUUGCCUCUGAUACUGGUCGGCUAGAGAGUAGUUGCGGUAGGCAGAAUGUAUGGUGGAGCGGUGAAAUGCUUAGAGAUCAUACAGAACACCGAUUGCGAAGGCAGCUUACCAGGCUACUUCUGACGUUGAGGCACGAAAGCGUGGGGAGCAAACAGGAUUAGAUACCCCAGUAGUC
rnacentral:rRNA from 1 species